rnacentral:lncRNA from 1 species
UUUUAAUUUAAUUUGUUUUUUGUACUGUGAUUGAUGUUGAGUAGAUAGAAUCAGCUGUCAAGAAAUCAGGACCUAAUUUGUAUGUCAGAAUGAAACUAUGGUAUUCAAGUUUUUCUACCACAUUCUGGAAAAUUAUUUCACCUACAAGAAAUCAAAAGAAAGAUGAUGUGUCUGAUUCAUCAAGAAAAGUUAGUACAAAAAGAGUAAGAUUUUCAGAGCAGCUUGAAGAAGAAAUUGUUGGGCCUUUGUUAAAAUUGAAAAUGGAACACCUUACAGAAAUGAAAGUCAGUGAAAUGCAAAUGUUUAUUAGAGUAGAGCCUGCUGAUAAAAUAGCUUUCUGUGUUUGCCAAAUAUAGUUAUUUUGAAUGUUUUUGAAAAACAUGAUGCUAUGAACUAUAGGGAAAAAUUAAAAUAUUGUGUAUGUAUGAAACCUAUUAAAUUGUAAUAUUAACACUAUAAUAACUUUUAAUGUUUUGAUAUUAAUUAUAAUAUUAUGACUGGUCCUUAU